rnacentral:rRNA from 1 species
CCUACGGGUGGCAGCAGUGAGGAAUAUUGGUCAAUGGGCGCAAGCCUGAACCAGCCAAGUCGCGUGAGGGAAGACGGCCCUACGGGUUGUAAACCUCUUUUGCCGGGGAGCAAGCCUGAGCACGUGUGCCCAGGCGGAGAGUACCCGGAGAAAAAGCAUCGGCUAACUCCGUGCCAGCAGCCGCGGUAAUACGGAGGAUGCGAGCGUUAUCCGGAUUUAUUGGGUUUAAAGGGAGCGUAGGCCGCAUGUCAAGCGUGCUGUGAAAUGUCCGGGCUCAACCCGGGCCUUGCAGCGCGAACUGGCGUGCUUGAGUCCGCGGAAAGCAGGCGGAAUUCGUCGUGUAGCGGUGAAAUGCUUAGAUAUGACGAAGAACCCCGAUUGCGAAGGCAGCUUGCUGCAGCGGAACUGACGCUGAUGCUCGAAAGCGCGGGUAUCGAACAGGAUUAGAUACCCUUGUAGUC